rnacentral:rRNA from 1 species
GACGAACGCUGGCGGCGUGCCUAAUACAUGCAAGUAGAACGCAGUUGCGAACGGGUGAGUAACGCGUAGGUAACUGCCUCAUAGCGGGGGAUAACUAUUGGAAACGAUAGCUAAUACCCCUAACUGUGAGAUGGACCUGCGUUGUAUUAGCUAGUUGGUGAGGUAAAGGCUCAACAAGGCGACGGUACAUAGCCGACCUGGGAGGGUGAACGGGCAAACUGGGACUGAGAAACGGGCCAGGCUCCUAAGGGAGGCCAGAGUAGGGAAACUUCGGAAAUGGACGGAAAUCUUACCGAGCAACGCCGGGUGAGUGAAGAAGGUUUUCGGAUCGUAAAGCUCUGUUGUGAGGGGAGCGUUAACUAACCAGAAAGGAACGGCUAACUACGUGCCAGCAGCCGCGGUAAUAC